AGUCCAUGGUCAUCCAAGAGCCUAAGAUAACUAUAAAGUCCAAUUUCAAAGGAAUGCAAAACCUUAGUAGUAGUAGUUACUUCCAAUAUUUGAAAAAUUAGUUUUUUGAUAUUGAUUUGUUUUUCUUAAAACAAAUAGUGGGAGUAUCAUACGCUACUAAACUAUAAUGAAAAUAAUUAGUAGUUAUAUAUAUCUCCAAUAUUUUGAAAAAUGUUUUGAUAUUGAUUUGUUUUAUGAAAACGAAUAGUGGGGAUAUCAUAUGCUACUAAUUUCAUUAACUUUGGAUUAGUAGUUGUAAUAGGACAUUAUUUAUUUGAAUAUGAUUAAAUAAAUAAAAAUGAUGAGACCUUAAAAUCCCUCAACCUACAUACAAUAUUAAGUUGAAAGCGUAAGAGUGCUUUGAACACUUUUUCGUGGCCUUCCACC
rnacentral:lncRNA from 1 species